rnacentral:lncRNA from 14 species
CACCGCCUCUGUCAACUCCUUCCCGCACGUCAGAUGUGUCAGGGACACGUCAUCCAGGAUGAGCCCGAAUGUUGCUGCUCGCUCUGUGAGGACAUCGCUCACCUGCCUGGAGACCAGCUCUCGCUGGGUAAUCAAUUCUCCAGCAUCGAAUCGAGCCACCACCGACUUGAGGAUCUCUGUGGUGACAGAUGGCAGCACCCGCUCAUCAUAGUCCUCGCCAAUACUGGUGUAGAUACCGGGAAGCUGGCUAGCCACUGGCCGGAAGAGGAUAACAUAGUGAUGUUGACAUUCUGGAAGUCUUUGCUACCAGUGAUGACCGGCACAUUCCGUGGUCGAGAGCAGCAGUCAAAGAGGAUUGGCUUCUGUACCCAAGGGAUGAGAAAGUGGCUUCAUUCUCAGAUCACUUUUCUGAAUAAUAUCUGGGCUAAUUCAUGAAGGAGCUUGUACUCACUACAUGGCGAUUGUUAACAUUUAGGGCUUUUGUGAACUGCCAUCCAAAUCAUUGGUAAGUUGCAUCUGGCAUGGUGAGAGCAUUUACAACACAGAAAUCAACACAGACUAUACAUAAUUGUGACACUGAACCUGAAGUAUUCAUUAAACAUGGGGAGGGGAAUACCCAUAUAGAAGGGGAGGGGAGGGGCUAGGGGGAUGUUGGCCUGGAAACCGGUAAAGGGAAUAACAAUUGAAAUGUAAAUAAGAAAUACCCAAUUUAAUAAAGAUGGAAAAAUAUGCCAGUGCAUAACUUAUUAAUCCUUUAAAAUUGUAUUGACCAUGAGUUAUAGUUUAAACAAUAUUCUAGAAGAAAGGAAAUCAU